rnacentral:rRNA from 1 species
GAUGAACGCUGGCGGCGUGCCUAAUACAUGCAAGUCGAGCGAACGGACGAUAAUCUUGCUUCUCUGAUGUUAGCGGCGGGCGGGUGAGUAACACGUGUAUAACCUACCUAUAAGACUGGUAUAAUUUCGGGAAACCGGAUCUAAUACCGUAUAAUCUUUUGAACCGCAUGGUUCAUAAGUGAAAGACGGUCUUUCGGUCACUUAUAGAUGGAUCCGCGCUUCAUUAGCUAGUUGGUAAGGUAACGGCUUACCAAGGCAACGAUGCAUAGCCGACCUGAGAGGGUGAUAGGCGACCCGGGAGCUGAGACACGGUCAAGACUCCUACGGGAGGCAGCAGUAGGGAAUCUUACGCAGUGGGCGAGAACCUGACGGAACGACGCGGAGUGAGUGAUGAAGGUCUUCGGAGCGUAAAACUCUGUUAUUAGGGAAGAACAUAUGUGUAAGGAAAUGUGCAGAUCUUGACGGUAACUAAUCAGAAAGCAACGGCUAACUACGUG